rnacentral:lncRNA from 1 species
GAGUAGCUGGGAUUACAGGUGUCUGCCACCAUGUACAGCUAAUUUUAUAUUUUUAGUAGACACGGGGUUUCUCCAUGUUGGUCAGGCUGGUCUUAAAUUCCCAACCUCAGGUGAUCUGCCCACCUCAGUCUCCCAAAGUGCUGAGAUUACAGGCAUGAGCCACUGCGCCUGGCCUAUGAAAUUCAGAUUCUAAUGGGGGUAAGGGGAUCAAAACAAAAGUAAACAGACAAAAUUGUUACAAAUAGUAGGGACCAUGGCAAUACCUCUUUCAUUGGUUUGCUGUGGGGAAUAAAUGAGAUAACACAUGUCAAGGCCUUAGUGCAAAAACUGGUCCCUAGUCCAUGCUUGAUUAACUCCAAGUAUUAUAAUUUUUGUUAUAAUCCCACCCCAGGAAGAACCAUCUUUCCAGCAUUAAAAAGUAGCAUACUGCUGACAAAAUGAUGUACCCCCAGCAUUUAUUUACUGUCUCAAGUGCCAGCAACUCCCUCCCUUCAGUUCAUGUGGUACUGUCAUUUCCAACAUCCAAUGAUAACCACCACCCCACCUGGGCAGAGAGAUAAGAGGUAACCCAAGUCCAGCCUGUUAGAAUCCCCACUAUCUGCAGAGAUUGGUCUAACUAGGAACAUGGCCCAAACAGAGCAAGAGUAACUGUCCUUCCCAGGGAUUGAUCUACAGGGUUGUGGCUACAGACACUCCUCCUCCUAUGGGAAUCACUGAAUAGGUGCAUUGUGAGUCUGGGGGUGCAGGUGAGCAUCUUUCCUACCAAGGGAAGGAAAUCCAUCUGCAGUUGAUUGAAAUGAAAAGAGAAGAACAACUAAAUGAUGAAAAAGGCAAAAGGCAGAAACAAGAGGGAAGACUUCAAAUUAACCCCAGGAUUGAAUCAUGCUAGAAGCCAGAUCCACGCCUGGACUUCCCAAUAAUAUAAGCGAUUGAUUUCACUUUGGCUUAAGCUAGUCUGAGUUGGGUUUGUCUUGUGCAAGUAAAAGAACUCUCCCAGAUACCAUGAUGUACACAUAGGUACCUAUGUAUGACCUCUCCCCAAAUUCAAAACAUAUCCAGGCAGUUUAACAGUACUUACAUCUGAUUGAUAUUUGAGUUAGGGAAAAAAAAGUAUCAACCUUAUUCACUAAUUUUAACUUUUUACAAUAAGC